rnacentral:misc_RNA from 3 species
ACUCCUCCACCCUCCACCUUUUUCGGAAGGCGUUGGGCUGGGAUUUGGGAGCUUGCGGGUCCCUGGCCGAUCCGCUCUCCUUGAAUACAUUAGCGAAGCCCUUGCGGCCUUGGUGUGAUAGUCAUCUACGCCUCGGUUUAGCGAACAUACGGGAAUCGCUUCCAACCGUCUCGCAAGAGACAAUCACUUCAA